UGGCAGGAAAAGGGGUUAGAACAUAGCGGGUGAGGGGCCGUCGGGUGAGCGCCUGCCUGCGCAGGUAGACAGCAGAGAGAGCCGAGUGCGCGGUGCCUACGUCUUCGUCGGAGGGAGGUGGAGGAGCGGCGGCCGCUACAGCCAGGGCGGGAGGCCGGUGGCGGUCCACAGCGACUCCCCCAGGUCGCGGUCCCUCUAGUGGGCGCUGCGCGACGACGUCUUCCAGAGGCUCCUCGCGGUCGAGGCGUCGGUAGAGGCUGCGCGGCGGCGGCGGCGGGAGUGGUAGGUCGCUCAUACCUCUUCCAUGGUAGAAUAGUCUUUCCAAUGUCUUGUUGAAGUACUUCUCACCCUUCAUAAUCAUUUGGUCGAACUGUAGUUGGACUGUUUAGUUACCUAUAGCUCGUUCUACGAAUCCGGUAAAGAAAAGAAGUAAUGAGUCGGUAGUUCGACCAUGUUCCCCGUUGUCUGGUUCUGACACUUCAGAUAGAGUUCUACGAAGUUUUAGUAGAACUUAUCGUAUUUGAGUUACCUAGUUUCGUUUUUGAAGACAAGGAAACGACACCCAAAAGGUCUUCUCUCCAGAUAAACCGAAAUAGUCCGUUUCUUCGACUAAAGCGACACGAGAACGUAGGAACGGUCCACACUAGUAACAACAACAUUCCUACAUUUGUACCAACUUUAAUCAUGAGAAUGAUACGCCAACCGGUAGAGUAAUUGACUAACGUUUUGUACCUUUUUGAAUUGUUCACUCUUAUGAUCUCGACGACUACGGAGACAUCUCUGAAACUAACUUAAAUAACCGUGUUCUGUCUCACCAUGUAUAUCCACACACUCCUCUAUAUAUUUUACAAAACCAGGGGUACAAUGGGGUCCCUUCUAUCUAAGACGCUAACGUGGUCUACUGGUCGAGGACCAAUGACGAUCACGUCACUGAGAACGUAACGCGGGAAAGUUGAGAUGUUCUCGUCUGUACCCACAACUAGAUUGACCACGACGUUUCCUUAUGAAGUGUGAAUAUGAGUGUUAAGGCAUAUAAACGUUUGCAGACGGCGGAGAAGAGAAUGGACGAGAUUUUGUGUAUAGACAUGACGUUGGCAGAGAGUCGUAAAAUGACUAGAGCUUCCUAUUUUAUAAACUUCUUUAUUCAUUUGACCUCGUCAGUCUCCAAAGAUUACAACUAUUGUCAUGGUAAGGGAUGACACCAACCCGAGAACCUUUAGAAUAUUGAGAUCGGUGCCUCGUACUACUAAAUAGGUUAAGCCCAACGAAGUAAGUUCCCGAUCUAACAACGGAUAUACAACUACGAUAAUUGACAUAAAGGGUUUUGAAUGACUUUACAAAACUUCUUUCGUUCCCUUACGAAGUAACAUAACUACUAUCCCGGUGGUUAUUAUGUAGUUAAUGACUUCUUCGACUGUGGUUACUAUCGACGGCGUGCUUUUGUAACAAAUACCUGGAAGAUUUCGGUUAAAUGGUCGUCACCGUGGAGUCUUUCGAUAACUAUAACCGUUUCCUCCUACAAGGUACGCUGUCCCUUUGGUUGGUACUGGAUCUGGUUUCCGUCCAAUUUGCAGCCUCGGAUUUCAAUUGUCUAUAAUAUACGAAAAUGAUAAUGUACGAGUCUUAAAAGAGAAGGGACUUGGGUAGAUAACCAGGUAACGGAUAAGAGUUGUACGAGAGUAAGUGGGGCCCUAAAGAACAACUAAACACCCCCUGUAAUCUUUAUAGUUAAAAACCGGUUUGACCGGUUUUUAGUGUCCUUGGACUCGUACAUUUUGUUAACCGACCUUCAUCAAGUCCACUCGUUUAUAGGAGGUGUUCCGUUUCUGCCUUAUGGUUCCUGUGUGGUUUUUUCACCCGUUUACACGAGGUAUUCUAAUGUCCUUUUAGUUUACUACGUCUACUGUGGUUAAACUCACUGUCAGACUGAAGACUCUUAAGAUUACUACUACGUAAUUAAAAUACCCUAUAACUCUGAUACUCCGUUCCUAGACUUCCAUAGCCCUUCCUACAUUACGUGUACAACGUAGACAAGACACGUUAUAUACCUGUAGAUAAUGAACACGAUCUACUAUAACUCAAAAUACUCUUUGUCUAAGGAAAGUGAGAUCUCGUUGUUGCCUUCUAACGUAGUCGUGAGUUAUGCAAACACAUGUUGAGAAAGGAAGUCUUAUCACCUUCGCCGUUGUUCGGAGAAUAACUGCACUGACACUCUACAGAAUUAGAUGAGAUACUUUCCCUGUCGUCUGUGUCCAAGACAGGGUCAAGGGACACCAACAGUGGGCGGUCUUGACCGUCUUAAGGUUAACGUCGACGACGGUCUCGGGUACUCCGUCGGAAACGAUCAAAUCAGCCUUGAUGAAGUCCUUAAGGAUGGGCGUCGAGACAUGAAUGGUGUCAUGGUGUACAUAUAGGCAAACUCCUCUCUCACGUCUACAAAUCUCUUAAAUAACUCAAUCUGUUUCGUAGUUCUUCUCGAUUGCCACUUCAGAGACCCGGUCCAGGUCCUAGGUAGCUCUAUCAGUAAGCAGCUCCAGUAUAGCAACUUCUACCUAUAUCCGUCAACUUAACAGAAUCUAGAUUCGACUUUAGAACGUAAGUACACAGCAAACAGUCACUUACACCGGAGGGACUUCGACCAAACCUGAUACCACCAGAUAGUUUCCUCAAGAAUUGACUAGACAGGUUCCGACGGAAGUCAGGUCUUAUACCUGACAAAUGUGUUUGUAGUUGUAGACUAUCAUCGUAUUAAGGUUCGUCAAGACGAUUCGACAACCUGUUACCGUAACUAUACUAGCUUAAAGAACCAGCUCAACAGCCGUUUCGUGAGAUACUCCCCUAGGAGAACCUGAUGACAAAAAGUGUUCAUAAACACGUUUUUGAAGAUCCCGCGAUAUCAAAAAACCUACUUAAUAGUUGUGAACUAAGACUUGAAAUAUCUUCAGAUUACGUUGAGUUCGUGAUACUGCCCCUGCAGCUUCUUGAAACAAACCUAAAAUGAGACUGACUUCUCAAUCCGCCCUUUUCUUAGCACGUACUUGACUCUGGCCCACCGUUUUUAUAGAGACAGUGUUUACUUUUAUUUAACGUGAUACAAGUACGCUACCGUCUGAUGUUCGAAUUGGCGGUCUAUGAAGGCAAAAGUUUACGUAAAAUGUCUCCUGAGUCACUAGAGUAGAGUGGUAGAACCAACUCGAACAAAUUACGUUUACUUAAAUUGGUCAAUGAAAGUCCACCUAGAGUCCUAAAACUACAACUACUAGACGCCUUGUUGUGGUUCAUGUGACCACCAAUAUGGCUCAGUUCAGCUUGACAAUUUGAGAAAACCCUCCAAUAGUUUCCCAAAUUCGGAUGUCUUGCGACGGACGAUGACUUCAAACACUGCUCGACGAGCGCUCGGGGCAACGAGCCUAAGUUCAUGAACGUCGGACCAAAGUGUUAAGUGUUCCAUGGUACACUACACUGGGAAACCCGAAGUUAGCCUCCCGUUCUGCACCUGGCAGAGGGUAGACGAAGCUGUACGAUGUUAUGCGAGUUCGAAGGCUGCAUGUUCGCCAGCUCGUGCGACUCCUCGUUCGACGACAUGCGCUAGUCGAGCUUGUGGCCCAAACUUGACAGCAUCCACCACCUCCAUGCAAACGGUACGUACGAGACGGCGACACUUAUCUACCUCUCUCCGAGUCGCUUUAACAUAGUCUUUCGACUUAUAGAACGGCAUUUACAUAACAACACGAAUUAGUGACUAAACAAAACCCACCUCACCUAACAGUACUCGGGUAACUGGGGACGGAUAAAAUCACAAACAACCUGGGCCAAAAACGGAUGAAAACACCGACUAAAAAUUGAUGUCUAACAUAUAUUUUAUUCGUGUCGCGUUCUGCCGCACGUUUAACUACCUCUGAAAGAUAGCUUCCUGAACUAAAUACUUUAACAAUGAGGGAGGCUAGGUAUAAUUAACCGCGUAGAA
rnacentral:rRNA from 1 species